UGACACAUUUUCUCAGGGAAGAAUAUGGAACCUUCAGCCUGGCCAAAUCUGAAAUUGGAUCCAGUAUGUCUGAAAUAUUGCUUUCUCAAGUAACAAAUAUGAGGACCGAACUCUCAUUCAACAUCCAAGCCCUUGCAGUUUGUGCAAAUAUAUGUUUAGCAAGAAAGGACAGACAGAAUCCAUCAUUAGUAUGGCUUUUUACUGGAAUGUUUUGCAUUUAUUCAUUGUUCUUUGCUUGGAGAGCAAAUUUAGAUAUUUCAAAACCACUUUUCAUGGGUGUGGUGGAACGAUUCUGGAUGCAGAGCAAUGCAGUAGUGGCCGUCCUCGCUGGCAUUGGUUUGGCUGCAGUUGUGUCUGAGACUAACCGAGUGCUGAAUAUCAAUGGGCUUCAGUGUCUGGAAUGGCUUUCUGCAACUCUUUUUGUAGUUUACCAAAUAUAUUCUAAUUACAGAGACAAGGUCUCACUAUGUUGCCUAGGCUGGUCCUGAACUCCUGGUCUCAAGCAAGCCUCCCUCUUCAGCCUCCCAAAGUGCUGGAAUUACAGGUGUGAGCUACUACA
rnacentral:sRNA from 1 species